UACGUAGGGUGCGAGCGUUGUCCGGAAUUAUUGGGCGUAAAGAGCUUGUAGGCGGUUUGUCGCGUCUGCCGUGAAAGUCCGGGGCUCAACUCCGGAUCUGCGGUGGGUACGGGCAGACUAGAGUGAUGUAGGGGAGACUGGAAUUCCUGGUGUAGCGGUGAAAUGCGCAGAUAUCGGGAGGAACACCAAUGGCAAAGGCAGCUCGCUGGGACGGUACUGACGCUGAGACGCGAAAGCGUGGGGAGCAAACAGG
rnacentral:rRNA from 1 species